AACAUCGCCUCUUGCUAACACUUAAAUAUUAGAGGUCCCGCCUGCCCUGUGACAGCAAUGUUUAACGGCCGCGGUAUCCUAACCGCGCGAAGGUAGCGUAAUCACUUGUCUUUUAAAUGGAGACCUGUAUGAAUGGCAUAACGAGGACUUAACUGUCUCCUUUCCCUGGUCAAUGAAAUUGAUUUACCCGUGCAGAAGCGGGUAUAAUAACAUAAGACGAGAAGACCCUAUGGAGCUUUAGGCAAAUGACCAAGUACACCAAGCCCUUCCUAGCAUCAAGCUCGGGAAAACAAAAACCUUUGGUCAAGAUGCCUUCGGUUGGGGCGACCGUGGAGGAGAAAAAAGCCUCCAUGUAGCACGGAAAAACCCUUAAACUAAGAUAUUACACAUCUAAGCAUCAGAAACUCUGACUAAAUAUGACCCAGUAUUAACCUGAUCAACGAACCUAGUUACCCUAGGGAUAACAGCGCAAUCCCCUCCCAGAGUUCAUAUCGACGAGGGGGUUUACGACCUCGAUGUUGGAUCAGGACAUCCUAAUGGUGCAGCCGCUAUUAAGGGUUCGUUUGUUCAACGAUUAAUAGUCCUAC
rnacentral:rRNA from 1 species